rnacentral:rRNA from 1 species
CCUACGGGAGACAGCAGUGGGGAAUAUUGCACAAUGGGGGAAACCCUGAUGCAGCGACGCCGCGUGAGUGAAGAAGUAUUUCGGUACGUAAAGCUCUCUCAGCAGGGAAGAAAAUGACGGUACCUGACUAAGAAGCCCCGGCUAACUACGUGCCAGCAGCCGCGGUAAUACGUAGGGGGCAAGCGUUAUCCGGAUUUACUGGGUGUAAAGGGAGCGUAGACGGCAGCGCAAGUCUGGAGUGAAAUCCCAUGGCUUAACCAUGGAACUGCUUUGGAAACUGUGCAGCUAGAGUGCAGGAGAGGUAAGCGGAAUUCCUAGUGUAGCGGUGAAAUGCGUAGAUAUUAGGAGGAACACCAGUGGCGAAGGCGGCUUACUGGACUGUAACUGACGUUGAGGCUCGAAAGCGUGGGGAGCAAACAGGAUUAGAUACCCGGGUAGUC